rnacentral:rRNA from 1 species
GACUGAGUGGCGGACGGGUGAGUAACGCGUGGGUAACCUGCCUUAUACAGGGGGAUAACAGUUGGAAACGGCUGCUAAUACCGCAUAAGCGCACAGUACCGCAUGGUACAGUGUGAAAAACUCCGGUGGUGUGAGAUGGACCCGCGUCUGAUUAGGUAGUUGGUGGGGUAACGGCCCACCAAGCCGACGAUCAGUAGCCGACCUGAGAGGGUGACCGGCCACAUUGGGACUGAGACACGGCCCAGACUCC